GGGGAUUUAGCUCAGUGGCAUGAGUGCCUGCCUUGCAAGUGUGCAGUUGUGAGUUCAAUUCCUGUACCCCCCA
rnacentral:tRNA from 1 species